rnacentral:rRNA from 1 species
GACGAACGCUGGCGGCGUGCUUAACACAUGCAAGUCGAACGAAGAGCGAUGGAAGCUUGCUUCUAUCAAUCUUAGUGGCGGACGGGUGAGUAACGCGUAAUCAACCUGCCCUUCAGAGGGGGACAACAGUUGGAAACGACUGCUAAUACCGCAUACGAUCUAAUCUCGGCAUCGAGGAUAGAUGAAAGGUGGCCUCUACAUGUAAGCUAUCACUGAAGGAGGGGAUUGCGUCUGAUUAGCUAGUUGGAGGGGUAACGGCCCACCAAGGCGAUGAUCAGUAGCCGGUCUGAGAGGAUGAACGGCCACAUUGGGACUGAGACACGGCCCAGACUCCUACGGGAGGCAGCAGUGGGGAAUCUUCCGCAAUGGACGAAAGUCUGACGGAGCAACGCCGCGUGAGUGAUGACGGCCUUCGGGUUGUAAAGCUCUGUUAAUCGGGACGAAAGGCCUUCUUGCGAAUAGUGAGAAGGAUUGACGGUACCGGAAUAGAAAGCCACGGCUAACUACGUG